rnacentral:rRNA from 1 species
AUGAUUCGUGGGACGUCCUGCCGGUGGUGGCGAGUCGAAGGCGAGCUCCCGUCGUGGUUCCCACUUCGGUUCUUGCUCGCCCGAGGCGGACCCCGAUGAAAUCCUACCGCGGUGCUCUUCACCGAGUGUCGAGGUGGGCCGGCACGUUUACUUUGAACAAAUUAGAGUGCUUAAAGCAGGCCUGUUGCGCCUGAAUACUGUGUGCAUGGAAUAAUGGAAUAGGACCUCGGUUCUAUUUUGUUGGUUUUCGGAACCCGAGGUAAUGAUUAAUAGGGACAGGCGGGGGCAUUCGUAUUGCGACGUUAGAGGUGAAAUUCUUGGAUCGUCGCAAGACGGACCGAAGCGAAAGCAUUUGCCAAGUAUGUUUUCAUUAAUCAAGAACGAAAGUUAGAGGUUCGAAGGCGAUCAGAUACCGCCCUAGUUCUAACCAUAAACGAUGCCAGCUAGCGAUCCGCCGAAGUUCCUCCGAUGACUCGGCGGGCAGCUCCCGGGAAACCAAAGCUUUUGGGUUCCGGGGGAAGUAUGGUUGCAAAGCUGAAACUUAAAGGAAUUGACGGAAGG